rnacentral:rRNA from 1 species
UACAGAGGUGGCAAGCGUUGUUCGGAAUUACUGGGCGUAAAGGGCGCGUAGGCGGCCUACUAAGUCAGACGUGAAAUCCCCCGGCUUAACCUGGGAACUGCGUCUGAUACUGGAAGGCUUGAGGAUGGGAGAGGGAUGUAGAAUUCCAGGUGUAGCGGUGAAAUGCGUAGAUAUCGGGAGGAACACCAGCGGCGAAGGCGGCUUUCUGGACCAAUACUGACGCUGAGACGCGAAAGCGUGGGGAGCGAACAGG